rnacentral:lncRNA from 1 species
UCUCUCUGUGUGUGUGUGUGUGUGUAAGCCAUUCCAUUAUCUUUGUUUCAUACAUAACCGAGAAUUAUUUCGAACUAUUUCACUAGCGGUGCCUUAUGAACAAGAUGUAAAUUUCUUGAGUCAAUGGUUUAAAUAAAGUAAUAGUCCCACCAUCCUUCAAUGCAAGCUUAAGGCGUAUUUUGAUUAAGAGUGAUUAACUAUACAUGUUUAGAGUACAAAAGUUGCACCUUUAUGAUAAUGAUAUUGAUUUUAUCACAAUUGACAUUAUAUGCAAGUGAAUUUCAGGCUAAAAUCCUACGUGGGAAGAAUUUUCUUCUAUCAAAGUAUGCCUCACGUUGAUGGACACAGGGAGUAUAUGUGUCCUUAAAACUAUUUAAAUUUCAAAAUAGGAGAGGCAUGCAAGAAUUCUGGGUAAAAAUUGAAAUACAAGACGCAAUGAAUAUAUACGAUCGCCUCUACCUUGGAUCUGUUAGCGAGUAGUGAUCAAACUUCUUGUUACAAGUACUAACAGGAAGCUAGCUACUCUGCCCGACCUUCAAGUGAUUUUGUACGUAACACCCCAGUAUCACGCAGCCCGAGGAUGCUACACGACUACACUGAAAAGCCAAACUAGAAAAAUUUCGGCAGCAUAUACCUUGAAACAAAGCACAAUACGGAAGCAACAAAAGAUAGACUAUAUAUGAAGCGUGAUUCUCUAACAUGAUAACCAUACAUCUUUAACAAACAAGAAUAAGAAUAACCUAACAUAUAACAUAUCUUAGCAUUAUGUGGGAUAACAUGAAAGUGUGUUGUACUAGUUACCCACUUCCCUCCAUGAUAGCUUCCCUGGGGAGGGAAAAAUAAGAGUGAGAUUGAAUAAUCUCGGCAAGCAAACUACUUUAACAAACUAGGUAAAUCAUAGUAGAUUAACCAACCAUUUGAUAAAGUAACAAGUAUUAACAGCUCCACCAAUCUACUUGAUAUACCAAGAAUUAGGCGAUCAUGGCAAGAUAAAACAGUUUGUACAAGAGCUACCAUAAUAAUUAAUAUAAUAUCCAUAUAAGAUCCAUAUAAAAUGAUGGUUAGCAGUCCGGAAAAAAACCCAUAGCAUAUAGAUCUUUGUAACUACUCGAAAUAAAGGUCGCAUAAGUGCAGAACAUAUACCAUAACAAAAAAAAUGAAAUAUCAUUUUCAAUGUAAUUGAAGUUCCUUGGAAUGUGAGGCAACAACACACAUAAUAUCUCGAUAAUCACACAAGCCAUAUCAGACACAUGACCACCAAGAGGAACCCCUUAUCAUAUUUGCUUCAAUGUAGCUAUGUCAAUCCAAUAUCUAAAUAUAGGUAAAAGAAAGCAUGUGAAUGCAAAAGCCCACAUAUCGUGUAUCUGAAAUCCCCAUAUGCCAUACCGCAGUGCAUGUCAACAUAAGGGCAUAAUUUACCAUAGUAUAUUCACAUUGUAACUUCAUCACAUCCAACAUUCAAACCAUCCUGAUAUGAAUAUCAAUGCACAUGAAACUUCUGCCUUCAUACCCAUCAAGGUAUGAAGCUGCAUCGUUAUACCAAUUAGAUGAUGCUAUACGCAUGUGCAUAUGCAUAUGAACUCCUGCCUUCAUAUACCCAACAAGGUAUGAAGAUGCAUCGUUAUACCCAAUAAACGAUGCUGUACCGGUACGAUCGCAACCAUAGGUUCGCGACAUAACUCCAAAUGUCAUGCAAUGCAAUGAAAUGCAAUGCCACAAGAUAAAUGCCAUCUCCAAAAUCCAAAUACCACAUUGUACAUAAUGACAAGAGAACAAGACAUGAUAAUAUAUACAAAGAGAAGCACAAAGAACUUAUUUGAUAUAAAAGUAUCAACCAUAAUUGAAUGAUAGAAUCUCAUGUAUGCCAAGUAUAAACAAAAUCAUUCUCCAUAUCAUAUUAUCUAUGGGUCACCUUCAUUUUAAUAGGUAUGGGAUAGAAUGUAAGUAUUAUCAUUUUAAAUAUGGAGUAAAGCACCAAAUCCGUAAUCUAAGCCCAAACCAUGUAUAUCAUAUUAAAAAGGAACUUCUAAAAUAAAGCUAGUCAACCUGAAACUUAAUUCUUAAGUUGAACACAUAUACCUGAAGACUUCUGGAAACUACUUCUGACCUUACUCAUAACCCAAACUUCAUUUGAUCUGCACAUGUUAGCACUAGGAGACAUAAAGUAGCAUAAAUACCUCACCAAGGUCACAUUCCUCUAAAAUAGGCAUGUCAGCUACGAAACCACUAAACAUUCCACAGAUUCUAUAGACUUCAGUACAGUAGGGAAAAAACAUAUCAUAGAAUAAAUCACCAAAUAUAUAUGCUAUGUGUAAAAUAUGCUUUUAGUCCCUUAUUUUCAAUAUUUCUCAUCCAUUGAACAACCCAUUCAUCUAUUCACCCAUGUUAAAGUAGAAAGCUAUUUACCAACUAUAUAGCUAUAUUAGAAUAACAUAUUCAUACUCUUCUCAAACUUAUAAACAUCACCUAUAAUAUUUCAGAUUACCGCAUAAAUGUACAUUUUAGAUUAUCACAUAUAAAUAUGCGCACUUCAUUUUAUAAGUGGAGGAGUAAAAAUAACAUGUUAAAGUUGUAGCAGUGCAACAGCUACGUUCACUUACCUUUACCGACCAUGUAGAUGUACAAGCCUCGUAGCAACACCACCUGCUAAACCACCUAUGUAUAUCAGCACAACAAACCCAAAUGACAUUCUCAUAUAGAAAUAUAGAGUGCUCAUAUGUCGAAGACCCCAAUAUAAAUAGGACUAGACACCAUCAUUGAUGAAUAGCAGCAAUGCUUAUCUUUUAUGUAUCUAUUUUUAUACAACAGAUUAGGUAUCAAAUAAAUAUGUAUUUGGAAACUUCAGAGAAUAAACUAAAACUUUAUUAGCAAAACUAUAAUUAUAUUAGGCUUCUAAGGUUACCUAAAACACAACUCAAAACAACACUUUUGAAUCUGCAUAACAGCCCAGGCAGCAACAUAUAAAAAUUCAUAUCUCCUAAACUAUACAACCAAAAAUUAUGAAUUUUUGCUGACAGGAAGAACUUUUAUCCUUAUACAAAAGUUUCCAUAGUUGGAAGAGCUAAUUUGGCAAUUUACAGGGUGAAAAACACCAAUGAACAAACCUGACUCGAUCUGCCAGGCAAAAACAAACAGUCACAUUGAACCGGUCAUAACUGGAGUUCUACUCCACCAAAAUUUGCAAUCAUAUACAAUUUGGAAAACAUAGAAAAUCCUCCAUAACUUCCUCAUGUUUCUCAAGAAUCCAUUUUGCACCUAACAUAUCCAAAACUCGUACCCUAGACAAACUAUCGAAUUUGCUAGGAAACCGCAACUAGAAAACGAAGUUAAACUCCAAUCCAACAUCUAAUCCUUUAAUCCCGCACAGCCAAAACCUCCAAAAACACUUAAUUACAGGGGAAGGAGAUGGAUUCCACUCUUACCCAAGGCUUCUCCAUUGAAAUCCGCAAGGGGAGGUUGGGAAAAAACACCGAUCUAGAAUAUCUCCUCGAUCUUGUCUUCCUCUUCAAUCCAUCUUGCUCCUUCUCUUCUCGAUCCUUGCUGCAAUGGAGGAGAUCUAGAGGGGGAAGGGAGCAGUGGAGAGUGGAGGAGGCGUGCUGGGAAGGGGUCAUGAGGAGGGGGAGAGAGGGCGGCACUGGGGUCGAGCCUGAAGGGGGUGGAGGUAAGGGUUAAGUGCCCUCCUCUAUUUUUCUUGAUUCAUCUCAUCCAUUCAUUUUUUGAUUCCACAAAACUUUAGGAUCUAACUCCAAAUACUACAUAUGAGUAGUCAAACGGAUUGCUUUUGAAGAGAUCUACACAUCCACGGUCACCGAUUUUCUAUAUGAGCUAUGGAUCAAAAUGUCAACUUUUGCCCCUCCUUAAAACGCUUUGUCAAUGUUUACGCUUUUUUUUACGCUUUCUAACAUAGAAAGCGUAUUUUGCUUAAAAGCACAAUCUAUUAGUUCAUAGACUACCAAUCAUAAAAACGAUGAAUUCAAAUAUCUUAUGAACUAUACACCAUUAAUGACACUUUAAUUUCCGGGUCGUUGCAUAUUUAUGGUUUAAUAGCAGGCCUGCGAAAGGAACAGGAAGAGGCUUCUUGAUAUGCAAAUCAAAUGUCACAUAUCCCGACGUCACCCAUUCCCGGGUCCUCGUACCCAAUUCUCUCAUCCUUCUAUUUUUGCCAUCCCCAGUUGCUGUCUCUUAUAGUUAGAAAAGUGUGAAAAGGCACUAUAGUAGCUGCAACUUAGGGCCAGUUGCUGGAGUUAUAUACAUUCAUGCAACAUUUUUUGGACACGUGAAUGAAGAUAUAUAUGUAAAGGAGUGGAUAUUGGAACUUGCAUAAGCAUUGUGUUCAGUGUGUCCCACAAGUUUAUUAUUACCGUAUAGGUUACCGUCACCUACAUGUACCUAUAGUCCUACCUCAUUUGUUAAUGGGUACUGCACCAAGUGGCUGAAAUGUUUAUUCGUUUUCAGUACUAGGAAAAACAUGUGUUCCUGGAUCGCUGGU